rnacentral:rRNA from 1 species
GAUGAACGCUGGCGGCGUGCCUAAUACAUGCAAGUCGAGCGAACAGAUGAGGAGCUUGCUCCUCUGACGUUAGCGGCGGACGGGUGAGUAACACGUGGAUAACCUACCUAUAAGACUGGGAUAACUUCGGGAAACCGGAGCUAAUACCGGAUAAUAUAUUGAACCGCAUGGUUCAAUAGUGAAAGACGGUUUUGCUGUCACUUAUAGAUGGAUCCGCGCCGCAUUAGCUAGUUGGUAAGGUAACGGCUUACCAAGGCAACGAUGCGUAGCCGACCUAAGAGGGUGAUCGGCCACACUGGAACUGAGACACGGUCCAGACUCCUACGGGAGGCAGCAGUAGGGAAUCUUCCGCAAUGGGCGAAAGCUUGACGGAGCAACGCCGCGUGAGUGAUGAAGGUCUUCGGAUCGUAAAACUCUGUUAUUAGGGAAGAACAAAUGUGUAAGUAACUAUGCACGUCUUGACGGUACCUAAUCAGAAAGCCACGGCUAACUACGUG